UGGGGAAUCUUGGACAAUGGGGGCAACCCUGAUCCAGCCAUGCCGCGUGAGUGAUGAAGGCCUUAGGGUCGUAAAGCUCUUUCGCCUGUGAAGAUAAUGACGGUAGCAGGUAAAGAAACCCCGGCUAACUCCGUGCCAGCAGCCGCGGUAAUACGGAGGGGGUUAGCGUUGUUCGGAAUUACUGGGCGUAAAGCGCACGUAGGCGGACCAGAAAGUUGGGGGUGAAAUCCCGGGGGCUCAACCCCGGAACUGCCUCCAAAACUAUUGGUCUAGAGUUCGAGAGAGGUGAGUGGAAUUCCAAGUGUAGAGGUGAAAUUCGUAGAUAUUUGGAGGAACACCAGUGGCGAAGGCGGCUCACUGGCUCGAUACUGACGCUGAGGUGCGAAAGUGUGGGGAGCAAAACAGGAUUAGAUACCCCUGGUAGUCCACACCGUAAAACGAUGAAUGCCAGUCGUCGGGUAGCAUGCUAUUCGGUGACACACCUAACGGAUU
rnacentral:rRNA from 1 species